CAGUCGCCACGGGAAUACGGAGGGGGCUAGCGUUGUUCGGAAUUACUGGGCGUAAAGCGCACGUAGGCGGCUUGGUAAGUUAGAGGUGAAAGCCCGGAGCUCAACUCCGGAAUUGCCUUUAAGACUGCCGAGCUAGUAGGUGAGAGAGGUAAGUGGAAUUCCGAGUGUAGAGGUGAAAUUCGUAGAUAUUCGGAAGAACACCAGUGGCGAAGGCGGCUUACUGGCUCAUUCUAGACGCUGAGGUGCGAAAGCGUGGGGAGCAAACAGGAUUAGAGACCCCCGUAUCCCUGUCUCUUAUACC
rnacentral:rRNA from 1 species